rnacentral:rRNA from 1 species
GGAAUUGCUAGCAAUGGCAGGUCAGCAUACUGCCGUGAAUACGUUCCCGGGCCUUGUACACACCGCCCGUCACACCAUGAGAGUUGGGAUACCCGAAGCCUGUGAGCUAACAGUAAUGGAGCAGCAGUCGAAGGUAGAAUCAAUGAUUGGGGUGAAGUCGUAACAAGGUACC